AGCGAACGCUGGCGGCAGGCCUAACACAUGCAAGUCGAACGAGGUCUUCGGACUUAGUGGCGGACGGGUGAGUAACACGUGGGAACGUACCUUUUAGUUCGGAACAACUCAGGGAAACUUGAGCUAAUACCGGAUGAGCCCUUAGGGGGAAAGAUUUAUCGCCGAAAGAGCGGCCCGCGUUAGAUUAGCUAGUUGGUGAGGUAAAGGCUCACCAAGGCUACGAUCUAUAGCUGGUCUGAGAGGAUGAUCAGCCACACUGGGACUGAGACACGGCCCAGACUCCUACGGGAGGCAGCAGUGGGGAAUCUUGCGCAAUGGGCGAAAGCCUGACGCAGCCAUGCCGCGUGAAUGAUGAAGGUCUUAGGAUUGUAAAAUUCUUUUACCAGGGACGAUAAUGACGGUACCUGGAGAAAAAGCCCCGGCUAACUUCGUGCCAGCCGCCGCCGUAAAAC
rnacentral:rRNA from 1 species